UGCACCUUGCAGAACUGUUUCGGCUAUUCUUUUGUUAUUUUGUAUUCAGUGUUCAGUUAGUUAAACUAUUAAAGAUUAACACAUACACACACAUUAAGAUUAACACACACAUUAACUGCACUUUGGUCCAAUGACUCUUCUUCUUCCGACAAAAGCUGUGACACUGGACAAAGUCUAAGAGAAGAUCGGAAAUCGGAUCGGAAGAUCCUCAAAUCGAUGCUGUCCUUCAUGUACGCCCACCUGACCUUCUUCCACCAGGGUUACGACCUCUUCAGUGAACUACAACCUCUCAUGAAACAGCUGGGGGGACAGUACCAUCCUUCAGCUCCACUCAACCCCUCCCAUCCAUCUCUGAAAACCAUCCAGUUUUGAUAUCUUUUUGCCGUAUAUUUUUCAACUGUGCUGUGAUAUUUCACAGAAGUUCUGAACCUUUCUAUUCUCAUAGAUUCUACAUAUUAAAGAAACAUUUUUGCUAAGAGUAUUAUUAAUCGACUGACUAUGACUUGUUAAAAUGACCCAGUAGUGCUAUUUGCAGAGUUAGCUCCAGGUAAAUGUUGCAAUUCUUUAGCCAUUCCUGAGCGCUCCAGUUAUUGAUUAUUGAACAUUAUGAUUUCAUUGCUGUUAUAGGCCUACAGAAAAUAAAAGCUUUGCAUUGCAAUCUCUGAUUGUUAUUUCCACGCUCCAUCCAUGAUGGUAAAGAAUCUGGGUUUAUUCAUGUUUAGUUGUUUAUUUAAUGAUCCUCACCUCAUUAAACCAGGUGGCGUAACAGCUACAAUCUUUAAAUUGUAAACAACUUGUGCUGUAGUUUGAAUGCUGCAACAGCUAACUGGUGAAUGUUUUAAUUGAAUCAGUAGAUUUUGAUCGUUUCUGUGUAUUUUAAAGCUGAUGCAUGAUUCUGACAGUAAGCAACUUCUAUCAAAAUGUGUAUAUGAGUGUUUGCAAACUGUAUCCGACAGGAUCAAGCAUUUACAGUACUGAAAUGUCCAUCUGGCUUUAAUUUGUCAGAGUUGUCUCUUGAAAAGUGGAGUUUCAUCUGUUCUUAUUUAGUGCUGUAAUCCAAAGGAUUGAAUGUGAAUCCAAAAUUAAUAUGAAUGCAGCCGAAGCAUCACCCAAGUAGGUGCUACAUAUCGUCAAUGGAGGAGCAGAUGCCUACGGAGGAGCGGCUACUAUAGCGAAUCUGGGAACAACGGAGAAGCAGAGGGGCCCUAAUGAAAUGCUCCUGGCAUGUCUGACAGACUGACUUUCUCCCUGGCUGUACCAACGAUGCCCCCUCCACUCCAGCCAUAGGCUUCAGACUUUCUCAAACCCUCUCAACUCCUUUUCCAAGCAGAUAUCUGAAGCGGACUAGAGACACCAUUCGCUCGCCUCUUUAAUUUGUUUUGUUUAGCUUUAAAUGCUUUGAUUAUUUUGUAAUAUAAAGUGCCUUCAGAAAGUAUUCAUGCCCCUUGAUUUAUUCCACAUUUUGUUGUGUUACAGCCUGAAUUGAACAUUUAUUAAAUAUACUGUUUUCACACAAUA